rnacentral:rRNA from 1 species
UGUUUAUUACGAAGAGGGUCCACCCGUUCCCAUCCCGAACACGGUAGUUAAGCUCUUCAGUGCCGAAAAUACUUGGCGGGAAGCUGCCCGGGAAAAUAGGUCAACGC